UGGAUGAUGUUGUGGAGAGGGCCACCGAGAGGGAGUUUGCAUUGCCAAAGUCGAAGGUGGCCAUCGCCUUGACCUGCCUGGACCUCCUGACCUUUCACAACGCUCAAACAGGAAACACAUGUUGGAGGAGGAGAACACAAGCUAAUUGAUGAUUUGGAUGAGUGGAUCAGAGGACGACAUGAGCAGCUCAAGUCUCUCAACACGCGGAUGGAUGAUGUUGUGGAGAGGGCCAUCGAGAGGGGGUUUGCAUUGCCAAAGUUGAAGGUGGCCAUCGCCUUGACCUGCCUGGACCUCCUGACCUUUCACAACGCUCAAACAGGAAACACAUGUUGGAGGAGGAGACCACAAGCUAAUUGAUGAUUUGGAUGAGUGGAUCAGAGGACGACAUGAGCAGGUAUUUCCAUUUGAUCAUACCCAAAAUGAUAAUGUAUACCCUAACUUAAGAUGAUGGCUCUUCUACUCUGCUAACAUAACAUGCAUGUGCUUGUGUGGAGUGCCUGCAAAAUUAAUAUCUCAAGUCUCUCAACACGCAGAUGUGGAGAGGGUUCUCCUAGCGGUCAUUGCAACUGUGAUAUGCAUUUCCUUGCUCUCGGCUCUGAUCAAGUUUGUAGCGUCUGGGAAUGUGCAUAUGAAAAUCCACACGUGCGAUUUGGUUGUUAUAUUUUUUCCACACUGGUUUCUAGAGAUGUUCAAGUUAUCUCAUAUACUAUAUCGAAUUAUAAUGGAUAAGUUAGUGUACAUACUGAUUUGAAGAU